CCUACGGGGCGCUGCAGUGGGGAAUAUUGGGCAAUGGACGCAAGUCUGACCCAGCAACGCCGCGUGAAGGAAGAAGGCUUUCGGGUUGUAAACUUCUUUUAAGGGGGAAGAGCAGAAGACGGUAUCCCUUGAAUAAGCUACGGCUAACUACGUGCCAGCAGCCGCGGUAAUACGGAGGUGGCAAGCGUUGUCCGGAUUUACUGGGUGUAAAGGGCGUGCAGCUGGAGAGACAAGUCAGAUGUGAAAUCCAUCGGCUCAACCCGUGAACUGCAUUUGAUACUGGUUCCCUUGAGUGUCGGAGAGGUAGUCGGAAUUCGUUGUGUAGCGGUGAAAUGCGUAGAUAUAAGGAAGAACACCAGUGGCGAAGGCAGAUUACUGGACGAUAACUGACGGUGAGGCGCGAAAGCGUGGGGAGCAAACAGGAUUAGAUACCCCGGUAGUC
rnacentral:rRNA from 1 species